GAUAGUACCUUACUACAUGGAUACCUGUGGUAAUUCUAGAGCUAAUACAUGCUAAAAACCCCGACUCACGAAGGGGUGUAUUUAUUAGAUAAAAAACCAACGCCCUUCGGGGCUCCUUGGUGAAUCAUAAUAACUUAACGAAUCGCAUGGCCUUGCGCCGGCGAUGGUUCAUUCAAAUUUCUGCCCUAUCAACUUUCGAUGGUAGGAUAGUGGCCUACCAUGGUGGCAACGGGUAACGGGGAAUUAGGGUUCGAUUCCGGAGAGGGAGCCUGAGAAACGGCUACCACAUCCAAGGAAGGCAGCAGGCGCGCAAAUUACCCAAUCCCGAUACGGGGAGGUAGUGACAAUAAAUACUGAUACGGGGCUCUUUUGGGUCUCGUAAUUUGAAUKAGAACAAUUUAAAUCCCUUAACGAGGAACAAUUGGAGGGCAAGUCUKGUGCCARCAGCCGCGGUAAUUCCAGCUCCAAUAGCGUAUAUUAAAGUUGUUGCAGUUAAAAAGCUCGUAGUUGAACCUUGGGUCUGGCUGGCCGGUCCGCCUCACCGCGAGUACU
rnacentral:rRNA from 1 species